rnacentral:rRNA from 1 species
CCUACGGGUGGCAGCAGUGAGGAAUAUUGGUCAAUGGACGAGAGUCUGAACCAGCCAAGUAGCGUGAAGGAUGACGGCCCUAUGGGUUGUAAACUUCUUUUAUAUGGGAGUAAAAUGUUCCACGUGUGGGAUUUUGUAUGUACCAUAUGAAUAAGGAUCGGCUAACUCCGUGCCAGCAGCCGCGGUAAUACGGAGGAUCCGAGCGUUAUCCGGAUUUAUUGGGUUUAAAGGGAGCGUAGGUGGAUUGUUAAGUCAGUUGUGAAAUUUUGCGGCUCAACCGUGAAAUUGCAGUUGAAACUGGCAGUCUUGAGUGCAGUAGAGGUGGGCGGAAUUCGUGGUGUAGCGGUGAAAUGCUUAGAUAUCACGAAGAACUCCGAUUGCGAAGGCAGCUCACUGGACUGCAACUGACACUGAGGCUCGAAAGUGUGGGUAUCAAACAGGAUUAGAUACCCCUGUAGUC